rnacentral:rRNA from 1 species
CUUUUAAAUAAGUAAGAGUUUUG